GACGAACCGAGCGAACGUUGUUCGGAAUCACUGGGCUUAAAGGGCGCGUAGGCGGGCGAUCAAGUCAGGGGUGAAAGCCCCCAGCUCAACUGGGGAAGUGCCUCUGAUACUGAUCGUCUCGAGGGGGAUAGGGGCGUGCGGAACUUCCGGUGGAGCGGUGAAAUGCGUAGAUAUCGGAAGGAACACCGGUGGCGAAAGCGGCGCGCUGGAUCCCUUCUAACGCUGAGGCGCGAAAGCCAGGGGAGCAAACGGG
rnacentral:rRNA from 1 species